GAUGAACGCUGGCGGCGUGCCUAAUACAUGCAAGUCGAGCGAACGGACGAGAAGCUUGCUUCUCUGAUGUUAGCGGCGGACGGGUGAGUAACACGUGGAUAACCUACCUAUAAGACUGGGAUAACUUCGGGAAACCGGAGCUAAUACCGGAUAAUAUUUUGAACCGCAUGGUUCAAAAGUGAAAGACGGUCUUGCUGUCACUUAUAGAUGGAUCCGCGCUGCAUUAGCUAGUUGGUAAGGUAACGGCUUACCAAGGCAACGAUGCAUAGCCGACCUGAGAGGGUGAUCGGCCACACUGGAACUGAGACACGGUCCAGACUCCUACGGGAGGCAGCAGUAGGGAAUCUUCCGCAAUGGGCGAAAGCCUGACGGAGCAACGCCGCAUGAGUGAUGAAGGUCUUCGGAUCGUAAAACUCUGUUAUUAGGGAAGAACAUAUGUGUAAGUAACUGUGCACAUCUUGACGGUACCUAAUCAGAAAGCCACGGCUAACUACGUGCCAGCAGCCGCGGUAAUACGUAGGUGGCAAGCGUUAUCCGGAAUUAUUGGGCGUAAAGCGCGCGUAGGCGGUUUUUUAAGUCUGAUGUGAAAGCCCACGGCUCAACCGUGGAGGGUCAUUGGAAACUGGAAAACUUGAGUGCAGAAGAGGAAAGUGGAAUUCCAUGUGUAGCGGUGAAAUGCGCAGAGAUAUGGAGGAACACCAGUGGCGAAGGCGACUUUCUGGUCUGUAACUGACGCUGAUGUGCGAAAGCGUGGGGAUCAAACAGGAUUAGAUACCCUGGUAGUCCACGCCGUAAACGAUGAGUGCUAAGUGUUAGGGGGUUUCCGCCCCUUAGUGCUGCAGCUAACGCAUUAAGCACUCCGCCUGGGGAGUACGACCGCAAGGUUGAAACUCAAAGGAAUUGACGGGGACCCGCACAAGCGGUGGAGCAUGUGGUUUAAUUCGAAGCAACGCGAAGAACCUUACCAAAUCUUGACAUCCUUUGACAACUCUAGAGAUAGAGCCUUCCCCUUCGGGGGGGCAAAGUGACAGGUGGUGCAUGGUUGUCGUCAGCUCGUGUCGUGAGAUGUUGGGUUAAGUCCCGCAACGAGCGCAACCCUUAAGCUUAGUUGCCAUCAUUAAGUUGGGCACUCUAAGUUGACUGCCGGUGACAAACCGGAGGAAGGUGGGGAUGACGUCAAAUCAUCAUGCCCCUUAUGAUUUGGGCUACACACGUGCUACAAUGGACAAUACAAAGGGCAGCGAAACCGCGAGGUCAAGCAAAUCCCAUAAAGUUGUUCUCAGUUCGGAUUGUAGUCUGCAACUCGACUACAUGAAGCUGGAAUCGCUAGUAAUCGUAGAUCAGCAUGCUACGGUGAAUACGUUCCCGGGUCU
rnacentral:rRNA from 1 species